UACGGGGGGGGGCAAGCGUUGUUCGGAAUUACUGGGCGUAAAGGGCUCGUAGGUGGCCAACUAAGUCAGACGUGAAAUCCCCCGGCUUAACCUGGGAACUGCGUCUGAUACUGGAAGGCUUGAGUGCGGGAGAGGGAUGUGGAAUUCCAGGUGUAGCGGUGAAAUGCGUAGAUAUCAAGUGGAACACCAGUGGCGAAGGCGAAUCCCUGGAAAAUACCUGACACUGAGGCACGAAAGCUAGGGGAGCAAACAGG
rnacentral:rRNA from 1 species